ACAAACGACUCUCGGCAACGGAUAUCUCGGCUCACGCAUCGAUGAAGAACGUAGCAAAAUGCGAUACUUGGUGUGAAUUGCAGAAUCCCGUGAACCAUCGAGUUUUUGAACGCAAGUUGCGCCCAAAGCCAUCCGGCCGAGGGCACGUCUGCCUGGGCGUCAC
rnacentral:rRNA from 1 species